CGACCUUAUCUGUGACAACAUACAAUAUAGCUAGGCAACUUCGGUGCUGGACACGGUUUUCUGUAGAAAUCCUGAAAUAUACAGAGUGUAUUACCAUAUGCUUGCUUCUUUGAGUAUGUGCCUGAAACAAGAAUGUCCUGGAGAAAACGGACCACAACAAGAAAAGAGAUGGAGAGGAAGGGCUUGCUGUUGAGAGAUCAUGGGGUGCCUUGAGGUUCCACUUCCAGUCUUGAUGUUCUGCCCCUUACCUCUAAGCGAUGGCCUCUUGUGCCUGGCAAUAUAUGAGCGAAGCACAAUGGACUGGUGCCUGUACAUGUAAUGUAUUUCAUGCAAAUGAAGGGUAGAAUGAGAAGCUCACAAUGAUAUGGUAGACAAGGACCUUGCUGUCUAAAGCUCGGAGGCCAGAUGACAGUGUCUGAACCGGCUUGUCGGAAUUGCGUACAAGAAUGCCAUUGGACUUUUCUGUACUAGUAGCUGAAGGGGGGAGCAGUCACCAGAAGGAGCAUGCAACUCCAAAACAAUGUGGAUACUUCUACCGAGUUCAUCUCAAGAAUCAAGAUGUGACAGUGGAUGUACAUGUAGAGGGGUUUGUGACCCUCCUGACUGUGGACUACAUGCAAUACACAUCAAUGGAUUGUAGAGGAGUAAUGGUGGGUCCGGUGAGCUCAACUCUGGAGGUUAAGUUCGCAAAAUUAAUAAAUUUCCUUUUAAUAUGGGUGUAUAUGGUUCCAGGGAUUAAUUUGACGCAAUGCCUCGUAGUGACACGCCCUAUUAAGGGGCAACACACGUGUCAGAAGGUAUAAAAUGGGAAGCAGUUCCUGAAUUGGCACGAGCUUUUACUUUUCGGAUGACUUCCUCAUUUUGUUUCAUACCUCAUUUCCUUUGCCGCCAUGAGGUGCUAAAGUUUUAGCAGAGUUGGGGGCUUCCAGCAGAUAGAUGUGACUUUUCAUGAUUAUAUGUAAUAAAUUGUAAUAAAGUUACUAUCCACUUCAACACUUGACUCUUGUCGAGAAUUUUA
rnacentral:lncRNA from 1 species